rnacentral:rRNA from 1 species
GACGAACGCUGGCGGCGUGCUUAACACAUGCAAGUCGAACGGAAAGGCCCUGCUUUUGUGGGGUGCUCGAGUGGCGAACGGGUGAGUAACACGUGAGUAACCUGCCCUUGACUUUGGGAUAACUUCAGGAAACUGGGGCUAAUACCGGAUAGGAGCUCCUGCUGCAUGGUGGGGGUUGGAAAGUUUCGGCGGUUGGGGAUGGACUCGCGGCUUAUCAGCUUGUUGGUGGGGUAGUGGCUUACCAAGGCUUUGACGGGUAGCCGGCCUGAGAGGGUGACCGGCUACAUUGGGACUGAGAUACGGCCCAGACUCCUACGGGAGGCAGCAGUGGGGAAUAUUGCGCAAUGGGCGGAAGCCUGAUGCAGCAACGCCGCGUGCGGGAUGACGGCCUUCGGGUUGUAACCGCUUUCGCCUGUGACGAAGCGUGAGUGACGGUAAUGGGUAAAGAAGCACCGGCUAACUACGUG